rnacentral:rRNA from 1 species
AGGAGCAUGUGGUUAAUUCGAUGAUACGCGAGGAACCUUACCCGGGCUCGAACGUAAGAUGACUGUAGGUGAAAGCUUACAUCUCUUCGGAGCAUUUUACGAGGUGCUGCAUGGUUGUCGUCAGCUCGUGCCGUGAGGUGUCGGGUUAAGUCCCAUAACGAGCGCAACCCUACCUUUAGUUGUCAUCAGGUAAUGCUGGGGACUCUAAAGGAACUGCCUACGCAAGUAGUGAGGAAGGCGGGGAUGACGUCAAAUCAGCACGGCCCUUACGUCCAGGGCUACACACGUGCUACAAUGGCCGAUACAGAGGGCAGCUACCUGGUGACAGGAUGCAAAUCUCCAAAGUCGGUCUCAGUUCGGAUCGGAGUCUGCAACCCGACUCCGUGAAGUUGGAUUCGCUAGUAAUCGCGCAUCAGCCAUGGCGCGGUGAAUACGUUCCCGGGCCUU